AAUGAACGCUGGCGGCAUGCCUAACACAUGCAAGUCGAGCGAGACCUUCGGGUCUAGUUGCGCACGGGUGCGUAACGCGUGGGAACCUGCCCUUAGGUUCGGCAUAACUCCCCGACAGGGGUGCUUAAACCGGCUAAUGUCUUCCGACCAAAGAUUUUUCGCCUUUGGAUGGGCCCGCGUUGGAUUAGCUAGUUGGUAGGGUAAAAGCCUGCCACGGCGACGUUCCUUAGCUGGUAUGAGAGGAUGAACAGCCACACGGGGACUAAGACACGGCGCAGUCAGCUACGGUGAGCAGCAGGGGGGAGUAUUAAACAACGGGCUAGAGUCUGAGCCAGCAAUGCCGCGGGAGGUAUGAAGGCCUUAUGGGGGUAAAGCGCGUUUACCCGGGAGGAUAUUGAAGGUACCGGGAGAAUAAGCACCGGCUAAUUCCGUG
rnacentral:rRNA from 1 species